GAUGAACGCUAGCGGCAGGCCUAAUACAUGCAAGUCGAACGAUACUUUCCAGCUUGCUGGAAAGGAAAGUGGCGCACGGGUGCGUAACGCGUAUGCAACCUACCUUAAUCAGGGGGAUAGCCCGAAGAAAUUCGGAUUAACACCGCAUAAAAUCACAGUACAGCAUUGUACAAUGAUCAAAUAUUUAGAGGAUUAAGAUGGGCAUGCGUGACAUUAGCUAGUUGGCGGGGUAACGGCCCACCAAGGCGACGAUGUCUAGGGGAGCUGAGAGGAUGACCCCCCACACUGGUACUGAGACACGGACCAGACUCCUACGGGAGGCAGCAGUAAGGAAUAUUGGUCAAUGGAGGCAACUCUGAACCAGCCAUGCCGCGUGCAGGAAGACAGCCCUCUGGGUCGUAAACUGCUUUUAUUCGGGAAUAAACCUACUUACGUGUAAGUAGCUGAAUGUACCGAAGGAAUAAGGAUCGGCUAACUCCGUGCCAGCCGCCGCCGUAA
rnacentral:rRNA from 1 species